ensembl:processed_transcript
CAACGGCUCUCCUAAUUUGAAAUUCACCUGUCGUCUUUCAUCCAGCGAAUUCAUCCUCGCACAACACUGAGAUGAAGGCGAAGUCACCAUGAAAAGUUAAACGUUUACCGUUAAGCUACAGUAAUUGAUGUUGAAAAACUGAUGCAACCAAUCACUCCUCACUUGAUUAUUCAAGGUAAUGUCGAUGUCUUCCUCAUUUUGAUUAGAUUUUUAAAUGUCAAGUUGUUCACAGAUUUGUUGUGAGGAGUUUCAUGUACAACCUCUUUUUCUUCUUCCAGCAGUUCCUAAGAAAACUUUAAGAAAAAAAAAAACAUCUGGUGUUAAAACAGCCACGGCUAUGCUAUUUGCCUACCAAGUGCUGAGUAAAUAUUAGACAAACAUUUUUUUCUAUAACUGUUGUCUUUGUGUUUAUUAGCAAUUUUACUGGGCAUAUGUGUUUGUUUUUUUUCAAACAGCCUGGAAACUGUAAGUUUAGUUCAAUAUGUUAUUUUAUGCUAUUAAUUUUUGUCUUAACAUGGAUUGCAUGUUGAAGCUAUCGUUUUAUAGUGGGAAAAUGUAAAAGAAAAUCACUGAAUACAAUGGCAUAAUGAUUCUGCUUGUUCAAAGAAGGUACUUGAUUUAGUUUUCCUCAAGCGACACAUCAGUUUUUAUGACUAUUGCUUGACACUUGAAUUGAAGGGACAGUUCACCCAAAAAUGAAAAUAAUAGCAUCUUUGGCAUCCUCCACUUGUUUCAAAAUAGUUAUAUAUUUAAUUUGUUCCGUUGAACACAAACUCGUAUUUUUUAAAGAAAUUUGGUUCAAAUAUGGAUGUCAAUAGUUACUGGUUACUAACAUUCUUCAAAAUAUCUGCUUCAGUGUUUA